rnacentral:rRNA from 1 species
CAAUAGCGUAUAUUUAAGUUGUUGCAGUUAAAAAGCUCGUAGUUGGAUUUCGGGUGGGACCUGCCGGUCCGUCGUUGCGAUGUGCACUGGCCGGUCCCAUCUUGUUGUCGGGGACCAGCUCCUGGGCUUCACUGUCCGGGACUGGGAGCCGACGAAGUUACUUUGAGUAAAUUAGAGUGUUCAAAGCAAGCCUACGCUCUGAAUAUAUUAGCAUGGAAUAACACGAUAGGACUCUGGCUUAUCUUGUUGGUCUGUGGGACCAGAGUAAUGAUUAAGAGGGACAGUCGGGGACAUUCGUAUUUCAUUGUCAGAGGUGAAAUUCUUGGAUUUAUGAAAGACGAACUUCUGCGAAAGCAUUUGUCAAGGAUGUUUUCAUUAA